rnacentral:piRNA from 1 species
CUGGGUGAAUAGAUGAUCUGCUAAGAUGCC